AACGCACAUUGCGCCUGCUGGUAUUCCGGUAGGCAUGCCUGUUCGAGCGUCAGCAAAACCUCUCAGCAAUGAUUUAUUAUUGUUGGUUAUGGGCUGUGGAGGACUAGUCAUUGCGGCUGCUCCCGCCUUAAACUUGCUGCACGACCGCAAGCUAAUGCUAGGUUAAUGAAGUGGUGUUUACAUAUAUUUCAGCGACCGUUCAUGGCUUUGUGGCGUUAAAACUGUUGCCACUCUGUGGUGAUUUGAUUUUUGACCUCGAAUCAGACAAGGAUACCCGCUGAACUUAA
rnacentral:misc_RNA from 1 species